rnacentral:rRNA from 1 species
GACGAACGCUGGCGGCGUGCUUAACACAUGCAAGUCGAACGGAAAGGCCCUGCUUUUGUGGGGUGCUCGAGUGGCGAACGGGUGAUUAACACGUGAGUAACCUGCCCCUGACUUUGGGAUAACCUCAGGAAACUGGGGCUAAUACCGGAUAGGAGCUCCUGCUGCAUGGUGGGGGUCGGAAAGUUUAGGCGGUGAGGGAUGGACUCGCGGCCUAUCAGCUUGUUGGUGGGGUAGUGGCUUACCAAGGCUUGGACGGGUAGCCGGCCUGAGAGGGUGACCGGCGACACAGGGACUGAGAGACGGCCCAGAGUCCUCCAGGGGGCAGCGGUGGGGAAUAUUGCGCAAUGGGGGGGAGCCUGAUACGGCGAAGCGGCGUGUGGGAUGCCGGGCUUCUGGUGUUGAACCGCUUUCGCCUGUGACGAAGCGUGAGUGACGGUAAUGGGUAAAGAAGCACCGGCUGACUACGUG